GACGAACGCUGGCGGCGUGCUUAACACAUGCAAGUCGAGCGGAAAGGCCCUGCUUUUGUGGGGUGCUCGAGUGGCGAACGGGUGAGUAACACGUGAGUAACCUGCCCUUGACUUUGGGAUAACUUCAGGAAACUGGGGCUAAUACCGGAUAGGAGCUCCUGCUGCAUGGUGGGGGUUGGAAAGUUUCGGCGGUUGGGGAUGGACUCGCGGCUUAUCAGCUUGUUGGUGGGGUAGUGGCUUACCAAGGCUUUGACGGGUAGCCGGCCUGAGAGGGUGACCGGCCACAUUGGGACUGAGAUACGGACCAGACGCCAACGGGAGGCAGCAGGGGGGAAUAUUGCACAAUGGGCGGGAGCCUGAGGCAGAAACGCCGCGUGCGGGAUGACGGUCUUCGGGUUGUAAAACGCUUUAGCCUGUGACGAAGCGUGAGUGACGGUAAUGGGUAAAGAAGCACCGGCUAACUACGUG
rnacentral:rRNA from 1 species